rnacentral:rRNA from 1 species
CCUACGGGGGGCUGCAGUGGGGAAUAUUGGACAAUGGGGACAACCCUGAUCCAGCCAUGCCGCGUGUGUGAAGAAGGCCCUCGGGUUGUAAAGCACUUUCAGUGAGGAAGAACGCCUGGUGGUUAAUACCCAUCAGGAAAGACAUCACUCACAGAAGAAGCACCGGCUAACUCCGUGCCAGCAGCCGCGGUAAUACGGAGGGUGCGAGCGUUAAUCGGAAUUACUGGGCGUAAAGCGCGCGUAGGUGGCUUGAUAAGCCGGUUGUGAAAGCCCCGGGCUCAACCUGGGAACGGCAUCCGGAACUGUCAAGCUAGAGUGCAGGAGAGGAAGGUAGAAUUCCCGGUGUAGCGGUGAAAUGCGUAGAGAUCGGGAGGAAUACCAGUGGCGAAGGCGGCCUUCUGGACUGACACUGACACUGAGGUGCGAAAGCGUGGGUAGCAAACAGGAUUAGAUACCCUGGUAGUC